rnacentral:lncRNA from 1 species
GGCAUAAUGCACCCAGCACUGCCCAGAACUGUUUGAUUUAUUAAGAAGAAUAAAGGCACAUUGAAUUGUUUAUAAGUUUAUUCAUUGAUGACACUGGCAUUUGGUCAACAAACUUAAAUACCACUUGAAAAGACCUAAAAUGAUUGCUAUUUCUAAAGCAAUUGGAACUCUUUCCCUAAAUGAGUCUGUGCUUGACAAACUAAGACAGAUGGGUAUUAGCAGAGAUCUCUGACGUCUCAAUGCUUUUGAAUAUGAAGGUCACAGAGAAAUAAACUAUUACCGAUUGUUUGUGUUUUCUUCCAAGGUAUUUAUUCCAUAAAUUAAUAGCUGGCAAUCACUUCUUGAUUAAAUGAAAAGGUAUAUAAAUGAAGUGACCAUAAGUUUUAGUUGUGAAAAUAAAAUGUUAAAUAUUAAUCAUAUAGCCUGGUUAGAUACUAUAGUAUAGUAAUAGAUAC